UACGGGGGGGGCAAGCGUUGUCCGGAAUCACUGGGCGUAAAGGGCGCGUAGGCGGCCACCGCAAGUCGACUGUGAAAUCUCCGGGCUUAACCCGGAAAGGUCAGCCGAUACUGCGGGGCUAGAGUGCAGAAGGGGCAACUGGAAUUCUCGGUGUAGCGGUGAAAUGCGUAGAUAUCGAGAGGAACACCUGCGGCGAAGGCGGGUUGCUGGGCUGACACUGACGCUGAGGCGCGAAAGCUAGGGGAGCGAACGGG
rnacentral:rRNA from 1 species